UCCAACUGUGUUAUCCUGUAUUACAAAGUUAUACAUGGUGUCAUAAAAGCUAGGUCAUAAUUAUAUGCCUUUGCUCAUUAUAGGUAUACAAUUUAUUUAUUGAAUUGCUCAGUAUGUCUUCAGAAUAACAUGCCUUUUAAACCAGUUCCUUUGUUCAUACAAAAUGGAACUGGCAGUUAUCCCUUUAUAAAGUAUUGUAAGAACAUUUUCUCAUUUUUGUAACUGAUUGAUGCCCUCUUUUAAAUGGUCCUACACAUAUCUUUUCAAUUCAAGUUUUUGCAUAAUGUGAUAGCAAGAUAAAAGAAUUCCUUACUUCAACGAAACGUUACAAAGCAACUAGAGACACUAUUAAGAGUAUUAACAUGUUUCUAAUGGCAAAGAAACCUUUUAACUGUCUGAUGUGGAGCAUGUUUCUGCUAAGUCACCACAUAUUAUGAUAAUUGUCUCUAUUUUCUGAGACUUUCAAUGGAAUGUAACAAACAGGUAGCUAAAAUUGAAUUGAUAACCAAGAAUAUUCAUUGUGUACUACUGUAGAGGCUUUGCAAUCUUGUACUGAAGAAAAUGUGGCUGCUAAGAUGGUUUUGUUUUGUUUGCUAAAUCCUAAAUACUAAUUAAAAGCAAUGCUGAU